rnacentral:rRNA from 1 species
AAAUUUUAUAAUUAAAAUAUUAAUUAAUAAAUUUUUUAAUUAUUUUAUUUUUAAUUAAAAUUAUAUUAAAUAUUUUUUGAUUUUAGUAAAUAUUAUAAAAAAAUAAUUUAAAUUAUAUUUAAAGUAAUGUAAAUGAUGAAAUAUUAAAUAUUUAUAAAUAAAUUUUAUUUAUUGUACCUUUUGUAUCAGGAAUAAUUUAAAAUUAAAUUUUAAUAAUAUUAAUCUCGAAUUUUAAAGAGUUAAAUAAUUAUUGUAAAUUAAUGUUUUAAUAUUAUUUUUAAUAUUUAUUUAGAGAAUAAAUUUUAUUCAAUUUAAAAUAUAUCUAGUUUUUUUUAAUAUAAAUUUAAUUUAUAUAUAAAAUUUAAAUAAUUUAUAAUUUUAUAAUUUUUUAUUUAAUUUUAUAUAAAAAAUUUAUGGGAUAAUCUAUAAAUUAAAUAAUUAUAAUAAUUUUAUUUAAUUUUUUAUAAUAUUUUUAAUAUUGAAAAUUUCUUGAAAAAAUUUAAUAAUUUAUAAAUAAAAUUUUAAAAAUUUUAAUUUAAUUUUAAUAUAAUAUUUUUAAUAUUGAAAAUUUCUUGAAAAAAUUUAAUAAUUUAUAAAUAAAAUUUUAAAAAUUUUAAUUUAAUUUUAAUAAAUUAAAAAAAUAAUUUUAAAAAUUAAAUUUAAUUUAUAAUAAUGAUUAUAUUAGUAUAAAAAAUUAAUUUUAAAUUUUUUUUAAUUUAAUAAAUUUAUUUUAAUAAUUAGGCAAUUUAAAUUUAUUUAUAAAAUUAAUUUCACCUGUUUAUCAAAAACAUGGUUUUUUGAAUAUAUUUUAAGAUUUGUUCUGCUCAAUGAUUUUAAUUAAAUAGCCGCAGUAUUUUGACUGUGCUAAGGUAGCAUAAUCAAUUGUUUUUUAAAUGAAAACUGGAAUGAAGGAAUUAAUGAAAAUUAAACUGUUUUAAUUAAAAAUUUAAAAUUUAAAUUUUAAGUUAAAAUGCUUAAAUAAAAUUAUGGGACGAGAAGACCCUAUAGAAUUUAAUAUAAUAUUUAAAUAAAAUUUUAAUUUAAAGUUUAUAUAUUUUAUUGGGAGGAUAUUUAAAUUUCAUUAACUUUAAUUAAAUUAAUCAUAAAUUAAUGAAAAUAAUAAAUGAAUGAUUUAAUAUAAUUAUUAAAUUAUUUAAAAAUUAAUUUAUAUAUAUAUAUAUAUAUAUAUAUAUAUAUAUAUAUAUAUAUAUAUAUAUAUAUAUAUAUAUAUUUUAUUGGGAGGAUAUUUAAAUUUCAUUAACUUUAAUUAAAUUAAUCAUAAAUUAAUGAAAAUAAUAAAUGAAUGAUUUAAUAUAAUUAUUAAAUUAUUUAAAAAUUAAUUACCUUAGGGAUAACAGCGUGAUAUUAUUAGAAAGAUCAUAUUGAUAUUAAUGUUUGCGACCUCGAUGUUGAAUUAAAAUUAAAAUUAAAUGAAGAAGUUUAAUUAUUUAGUCUGUUCGACUAUUAAAAUUUUACAUGAUUUGAGUUCAGAUCGGUGUAAGCCAGAUCGGUUUCUAUCUAUAAUUAAAUAAAAUAUUUUUGUACGAAAGGACUUUAUAUUAAAAAAAAUUUUUUAAUUUUUAAAUUAAAUAAUUA